CCGGGCCGGAUGUGGCCUGCAGGCCUUGAGUUUGACACAUAUGCUCUGGGGUCUCUGCCUCAUAUUUGAUUCUUUAUUUGUCCCCACUUUGCUCCAGUAUCAGCUGACCCCUCUGCCGCCUGCAGCUUCAGCAGCUGCUCUCAUAUCUCACCUGCUGUCCUGUUUUUAUCACCUCGCAGCAGGACUCAGAGAACAGGCAUCAGACGUCUGGCUCAGUUGGCAGCACAAACCCACUCUGUGUUCACCAGUAAGGAUGGGGCCAGGACGCCCCCUGGUGGACAGAGCAGGGAACACACACACAAACACAAUCAGCAGACUUCAUGUUGAAAACACUGAAUAAUUCCAUCAUCUCUGUCCUCAGUCUUAUCAAAAAGGACCUUUCCAAGUCUUAUUGUUUAAAUAUUAAGGAAGUUGGUUGAUGUUGAAGGAAACUUGUCCCUUAAACUUUCACUGACGUAAAGAUUAAAAAUAUGCAUUUCAGAACCAGACUCGGUCUGAUUUAAACUGCUGAUAGGAUGUGUGAUGUGACGUUGACUUCAGGACAAACAUCUUUGAGAGUCUCUCAGCAGAUUUAAACAUCAAAUCACUCUGUGGGGUUUCCUUUACAGCUGAAAUAUGAAGUUUGAAGCGGUCCAAUGAAAAGACAGAUUCCCGGUCUCAGUAGACAGAAACUGAUAGAGGAUCAAUAAUCUGAAAUCUGGCUGUGAGUGACUCUUCUCAUCACCUGUCAGUUAAACUGGUUCUUUAAAGAGUUGUUUUAAACCAGGUCAAAUGAUCUGAUCCGAUUUAAGAGUCUGAACUCAUCAGCAGGAUCAUCUAGAAUGAGGGAGCUCACCUGAGACAGAAGAGGGAUCAGAAGAUGGAUCAGACCAAGUCUGUCAUGGUGAGGUGGAUCACAGACAAGCUGAGCAUGAUCAGACAGUCUUUUGAGAUCAGCAGUAAUUUGAGGAUCUUUGUGGAAAUGAUGAGUCUGGAUGAAGUUUUUACUGGACUCUGAUGAUGGAGACCCUCUGUGUUACAGCAGGACAGGCUGAUAGACUUCAUCAGGUUUUAACACUGAUGUUUCCUUCAGUGAAGUUUUUAGAGAUUGUGAGUGAACCUUGAAUGAACUCCAGCUGCUCCUCUGCCUCAUCACAUGAUCACAUCAGUAAAAUCACUGAGGGUCCCUUUAGUCUCUUUAGGAUCAGUUUGAUGACGAGCUGUGCUGGAUGUUUGACUCUGUGUGGAUGCUGAAGGUGUCAGAGCAAGUUUGUAACUGAUGAAGGAAACAAUUUAAUAAUAACAACCAUCGUAAUAAUCAUAAUUAUUCUUAUCAUUAUUAUUAGCCUGAGUGGAUCUGAGUGGAUGUGUUGAGCAGCUAGAUUUCUUACAGAGAAGAAGAAGAAGAAGAGACGAUGUGUCAAAGGUCAAAGGUCAGGUGCUGACAGAUCAAACGCUGCUUCAAGCGUCUGAAAAUUAGCUCCUGUUCGCUAUGUUGCUAACAGAUGCCUCACCGUAAACAAAGCAGUGAGGAAAAGAUCCUUGAGGACCACAGCUGGAGAUAGAAGACCUCCAAAUGAAAAUAAAAUGAUGAAGGACAUUAACUUGUUUGUCUCUUUGCUCCUCUCCUUUUUACUCCCUCUUUAUAAAACAUGGGGGCUCACAGCUGGAUUCAUAUAUGUAACCCUCUUAUAGCCCCGCCCACCAUCUGCAGUUAUAAUUACUGAGCCAGGCUGCAGCCCACUGACACCAACAGAUUAUGAAGAAACUUUAAAAUAUCAGGACACAGUGAGGAGAUUUAACACUUCUCCUUCAUUAGGGAUCAAAAACACAUCACAUAUCCUGACUUUAAUAUGACUCAGGAAGAGUUAUGACCUCUAAACUCUUUCAGAAAUAUCAGGGUAUAAGAGGAGACACUACCGCUGAUAACAAACUUUUACAAACAUGACCUGAUCAGUUUUAAUGAACAUACACUACAGGCCAAAAGUUUGGAAGCAAGGCCAUUACAGGCUGAACAGUUGGGAGUAACUUCAAGUUUUUGUUCACAAUGCUUUUUUUAAAAUCCAGCAUGAGUUUUAUGUAUUUUGGGAUGUAUUUACUCCAUGAUCAGAUGUUGCUUUCAUGGAAAUGCACCAUUUUACUCCAUUUACCUUUAGAUAUACAUUGAUGUUAACAGACCAUUGCUAAAUAUAUGUCAGCAAAAGAUAAUAAGGGCUUAGAGGUUAAAAAACAUCUGCAAGAGUCACAACUUCAGUCCAAAAGCAAAAAAAUUAGUUGGAUUAUUCACUUCAACUUUUUGGCUUUUGAGAGUCUGCAUACAAAAAUCCUGAUAAAUCUCAACUGCGUUCCAACUACCGCAAAAAUGGCUAGAAAGAAGCAACUGAGUAAAGAAACAAAAGUACAGAUUUGUACAUUGAGGAAAGAAAGAUACACAGAAAGAGAAAUUGCAAAACGCCUAAAGGGGUUUAACAAAGGAGUCCACUACACUCUGAAGAGACUAAAGGAACCUGGAAGUUAUGAUGAUAGACAAAGACCUGGACGAAAGAGAGUUACUACAAAAGCAGAGGAUAAACAUAGCAUUGUCACCAGUAAGAGAGAUCGGCGAAAGACAGCACCACAAAUAAGGGAGGAAAUCAACAUGACAAGGUCAAAAACCCAUAUCUCUGACAACCGUGAAAUGACAUUUGAGAAAGGCUGGUCUGAAGGAUUGUGUAUCUGCAAAAAAACACUACUUCGUCCACAGAACAAGAAAAAGAGAUAUGAGUGGGCAAAGGCUCACAAAAAUUGGACUUAUGAUGACUAGAAACAAGUUUGCACUGUUUGGUUCAAAACGCAGUGUCUAUGUCCGCAGACGAACUGGUGAACGUCUGAAAGCACCACGUGUUACACCCACAAUUCAGCAUGGAGGUGGUAGUUCCAUGGUAUGGGGAUGUUUUGCAGGUGAUGGAGUACGAGAUUUGUUUGAAGUGAAGGGUAUCAUGAAGAAGGAACAGUACCACUCCAUCCUCCAGCACCAUGCUGUUCCAUCUGGACUCAGACUUGUGGCUCAUAAGUUUGUUUUGCAGCAAGACAAUGACCCUAAGCACUCUGCCAAGCUCUGUCAGGGUUACCUAGACAAAAAAGAAGAGGAAGAUGUUCUUCAAAAGAUGGUUUGGCCCCCUCAGUCUCCAGACCUUUCUCCAAUUGAGCUUGUGCAGGAUAAAUCGGAUCGAUCGGUCAGAAAAAUGCAUCCCACGAAUCAGCAGUCUCUUUUUCAUGAACUUAAGAAAGCUUGGAAUGCAAUCCCUGGGACAUACCUUAAAAAACUUGUGGAACAAAUGCCUGGUAUAUGCCAAGCUGUUGUUAUAGCCAGAGAAGGUUACUUUAAAGAAAGCAAAGUCUAAGCAACAAUAACUGAAAUACCUAGUAAUUAUAGUUAAAAUGUCUUCUGAUAAGUUACUCUUUACACGAAAGUCAUGUUUAUUGUGUUGCAAA